AGCCAGCAUGGGAGGCAGGCAUGCUAACGAGGAGGCUAUAGCCAUUAGCUUCAGUCGCUAGUGCGCCUCUUGAGGCCAGGGGAGUGAGGUUUUGCACAUACUGCACAGCUAUCACUUACCAGCUGGCUCCUGUUACAAAGGCAGCAUAAAAGUAAUCCAUACGACUCCAGUGGUUUAAUCUAUAUAUGAUAGAUGUGGGUGAGAAAUAUUGAAGUCCUUUUUUACUAUAAAUUCUCCUUCCUGCUCAGUCAAUCUCCACUUUCACUUUCACAUUGUUCUUCUUGUGUUUUUGGUGAUUCACAAUUCUUCAUGCACGUUGCCCCCUACUGGGCAGGGAGAAGAAGUUAUAGGAAAAAGAGGACAUGACUGCAACGUGAUAAUGGGCCGGGUCAAGUGCAAUUUAAUUCUGAGGCUCUUCUCUGGUUAUUCCACCAUUUGCGUCCUAUUAUAUAGUCCAUUCUCUCAAACACCAGCGAUAUAAACAAACACAACACAUUCAUAAGAAGUUGGUAUAGUGAAUGAACUGUAUGCAAUGAAUUGGAAGAAUAGAAAAUGUACAUUAACUGCAUCCUUGAUGAAUGUCAGUAUAUUUCUAUGACAGUGACACGCUCCUUUAAUACGCAUAGAAAACGUGAUUCUCUUCUGAACUUGGAUCAGUUAAAUUAUAGAGAAUGUAAGUUUUAUUAAUCAUUUUCAUCACAAAUCAUGGCUACUAUAAACAGUGAUUGACAGGGACAUUAUUUGAUGUUCUGCUAUAUUUCAGAGUUUGGACAUGAACUUUAUUACCACCUGCUGCUGGAAUCUCCAAACUGCAAAUGCAGGAACUGAGUUUAAACUUUGUGCUGAAAACAGACGUUCUUCUGAAAUGUCUUAUUUCUCUUCAUUAACAUACAAUACACACACAGACAGCGCAAACACUCCCACACACGCCCACUUGUGCUUUGCACUGGCAUGAAAAUUGGAUUUAGAAUUAGCGCUCUCACAAAAGUGAGAUAAGACGUAGUGACGCUGAGCCCUUCGUAUCUGAAACAGAAUCUGUAAAAUGGUCUGCCAGUUUCAGGAUGAAAAGAGAAAACGAUUUGUUCUGAAUUCAUCUUGUGUUUCUGCAGGCGGUGUAUCACAAUGUUAAAGCGGCGUCUCUCAAACAGCAGCUUGAGAACAUCAGCAUCUCGUCUGAGAAAGUGGAAGUGUUCAGUCAUGUUUGGUCUUCUGCCAGUCCAGAUGUGAUGGAGAAGAUCAGACAGAACAUAUUCUCUCCUCAGAAGUUGGAUCACAUCGGGUGGCAGUUGAAUCUGCAGAUGUCUCGGUCCGAUCAGACCCGUUUGAAAGCACCACACGCAGUUCUUGAUCUGGGGCUCCGAGCGGAGGAUGAUUCACAGAAUCAGUCGGUUUCUGCUCGGUUGAUCAACAGAAGUGCUGAAUCUCCUUUGUGUCUGUUGCAAAAUUUACUGAGAAACUGUUGUGAAAAAAAGUGAGUUAAUUUCAGUGAGUAUGUGUACACCUCAGUUGCUAUAAUUAAAUGUUAUUAACUUAUACGAUAUUGAGUAUUUACAGUAUAUAUCAGCAGUAUAUGAAGCUUUUUUUAGUCAUCAGUAGGUCUGCACGAUUAUGACAAUAUCCAUAAUCGCAGAUUGUUUCCCUUGAUAUUGUAAUUGCAUUUAAUUUUGAUUAAUAGAAUUGUCAUUAACGGAUUUAUUUUGCGUGUAUCAUCUGCAUGCUGUAUUCUUUAUGUAUUCUUUCUCAAGCUGAGAACUGUGUUCCUGAAUAACUUUAUUUCCAUUUUAUCCAUCAGUAGAUCAAGACUAGAUCCCACAUGGUGCUCUUAGCAAUAUAAGACACAAACCUAUUAUUGAGAUUUGGAAUAAAUUAUACACAGAAGCGAGCAACAGAUUUGUGUGUGAUAUGAUUACACCACUCAACUGCUGCACAAACACAAGAACAUGAAACAUUUUGACACAACAGGAGCAGACUUUUAUUGACCGCUGGAUAAUUGUGGCAGCUGUAAUUGUAAUCUCGAUUCUCAGUCUCAUUUAUUUGAUUAAUAGUGCAGCCCUAGUUAUCAGCCACUGAAAUAUCCAUUUCUAUCAAGCAUUACAGAUUAAUACAACACUUGAAAAUGAAAUGCAUUACCACCCACAAUCAUUCCAUACAUUCGUUUGUGUGCUGAGAGUCUGUAUGGUGCAAGUGUGUCUUUACUCGGAGGGUUUAGAGGAAGUCUUGGGAAACUAUGUACACAAGCAGCUGAGAAGCAUUUGAUUAUUGUCCUCUUUUAAUAGAGUUUAAAAGUAAAUCCAGUGACAGAUCUGCUGUGAUUCCUGUGUGUGUCGUGUGGUGUCGCUGUUGCUGCAUGUACAGUGUGUGUGUGUGUGUGUGUAUGUGUGUGUGUGUUCAGAUGAUCUGAAGCUUCAGACGAAUCCCUGUGAGCGAGUUCUGCUGCUGUUUGAACUCCUGCUGUGAGAAUGAUUCAUUUUCUGCAGAGAAUCUGACAAUGUGGUCUUUAAAUGGACAUUUUAAAAGUCAAAGAUUCUCACAUUCUCCGUGUAGAAUCAAAUGUGUCAUUAUGCUAAUAUCAUCUAUCAUCAUGAUGAUACAUUAUAACAACUAUUUCACACCUUAUUUUCUAUUAGCACUAUUAACAUAAACAACAACGAUACAUUUGACUCCUCAGAAGAAUUUGGUACAAUCAUGAAUAUCUCAAUCUCUUUUUAAUAAAUGCUCAGGAUGCUGGGUCUUACACAGGAAAGAUUGAUUUAAUUUACUUCAAGGCAUGUAUAUACUGUAUAUAAUACAUACAGAUUGCAAUCAGUUGUAUGUAAUCAUCAUUAUUUUAUAGUUAUAUUUAAAGUAUAUAAAACAUUAAAACCCAUUAUCAACACCCAGUUGCAUGUGAUAUAAAUCAUUACUGGAAAAGCUUUAUAAUUUAUUAGUUAUGUUUGAAAGAUCUAAUGGAUGUGGUCUUGUGUUUGUUCAAAGAUUCUGCUGGUCAUUCUGAUGAACGUUUCAGAUGUUUUUGAAAGAUUGUGGAUGUUGGAGGUCUUGAUUUCAUCUGUCAGUUACACUGUGAUAAAUGAGAUGAUAAUGAUAUGUUUUAUAUCAAUGGUGUGUUUGCUAUUGAUGAACU